rnacentral:rRNA from 1 species
AUACGGAGGGGGCUAGCGUUGUUCGGAAUUACUGGGCGUAAAGCGCGCGUAGGCGGCUUAUCAAGUUAGGCGUGAAAGGCCUGGGCUCAACCCGGGAACUGCGCUUAAUACUGGUAGACUUGAGUCCGAGAGAGGGUGGCGGAAUUCCCAGUGUAGAGGUGAAAUUCGUAGAUAUUGGGAAGAACACCAGUGGCGAAGGCGGCCACCUGGCCCGGUACUGACGCUGAGGUGCGAAAGCGUGGGGAGCAAACAGGAUUAGAAACCCCGGUAGUCC